rnacentral:lncRNA from 1 species
AACUGCGAGUUUGAUGGUUGGAUAAAGCCGUGCGUACCAGGGAUGGAGAUCUAGAACUGGAGGGCCUAAAAAGAUCAUCACGGUCACUCUGCUCGAAGAUUAAUGAUUUCUGUUUUUCAGUUUUAUUUGCAUGAAAGCCAUACGUUUUGCCCGAUGCGUAAUGGUUCAUUGUAAGGGCCACCUCAUGUUUCAUUCUGCAACAUUUUGCAUCAUAAAUAAAUGGAUGUUUUUCACAUUAAAAUCGGUGUUCCCU